UAAAUCUGGCCCUAAAUUGCUGUCUAAAUACAAACGCCCAGUCCUCCCUCUACCCAGACAGCUCCUCCUGCUCUUCCAGGGGAUGCUGAGGUGUCCCCAAGCCAAUUGAAAGACAUCUCUUCAGCAUGUCGCAGCCAGAUGAAUCCCUGGAGGUCCUUCCCCUGAUCAGCCUUGGGCUGAGCCUUCAGCUGCACACCUGUUCCCGUGCUUCUUGUUGCUUUGGACCUGGCCACCUGGGUAGGACUUGUGCUUUGAAUUUUGGAUUCUGUUUUUGAAUUUCCUUCUAAGAGACAGAGACUGGUUCCCACACAUACUUACCUGCCUGCUCACUCUCCACUGCACACCCACACACUCUCACAUUCAUUCUGAGUAGUAUCA